CUUAUAUUUAGGAACGAAGGGAGUAUAUGACUAUGGAUGAUGAUGAUGAGUUACUAUUAUAUGACUAUGGAUGAUGAGUUGUUAUAUCAUUGGGGUGUAAGAAACACGGAUCCAUCCACUUUAGUCUAAUAUGUGUUUCUUCCACAAUCUUUUCAUUGCUACUGUAUAAAAAUUGUAUAAUGGUGUAUAAAUAUAAAGAAAUGAAUACUCACUAAUAGUAGUGGCAUGGGGCAAAAACAUGCGUUACUACUAUUUAGCAGUAGCGUUAGCAAUAGCGCGGGUCCAAUCCCACGCUACUGCUAACACCAGUAGCAGUAGCGUGGGGUCAGACCCACGCUACUGCUGACAAUUAGCUAUAGCGCCCUAGCAGUAGGGUGGGCCCCCGCGCUACUACUAGCACAUUUCCCCGCGCUACUACCAGGGUUUUCCCUAGUAGUGUGGGUGGGUGGCUAGUUAAGUAGUUUUGUUAUCUGGCAAAGUUUCAUCAUGUAUUGUAUGGUCAGCAGCUGUGAGAACAGAUAAGGACUGCUUAUGAGAGCUGGUAAAAUUGCAAUGGAUAUGGUCUCCCUGUGAUUUCAAAAACAUCAUCAAAUCUUUUCUAUAAAAGGACUACAAGAAGAUGGCACUGCAGCAACAUCAGGACAUGAACUUGAUAACAGGCAGUAAGCACAAACGUGGUUUGAAGAAAUUUCUGCUAUAAGGUAAUGAGGAACAUGAACAAUUAGCAUUCCCCUAGUAUAGUCAUAAUCUUAUAUGAACUACUUCAGAGUUGAGACUUCUCUCAAGAGUUUGAAUAUCUGUCUUCAUCAUGAAAGGUCACAUAUAGACCAAGCUUGACGAAAACCAGCCCAACCCCCGCGUUGCCUCUCCCUGGCGACACGGGGGUAACCACUCUGCGGCCGCCUCCUUCCCACUCCCUCCUCCCCUCACCUCGUCGCUGCCUAAGGAGCCCGUCGAUGAAGCCCGAUCAGGCUCCAGGGAGGGCGACGGCGGGGCAUCUCUCUGCGAGGCGCGGGGACGGAUCUGGCGCCACAGGUCCUGGCGGGUGCGCGAGCGCGGCUCCGGCGGUUCUGGCUCGCGCGGCAAGAUGGCGGAGACGCGGCAGAUCGGCGCGACAGGUGUUGUGCGGGCGCGCUGGAUCGCUAGGCCGUCGCGGAUCCGGCACGAGGGCUAUUUCGCGGGCGGGGUGCGCUGCGGCUCGGGCGUGGCCGGGCAGGGUGGCGCUGCGGAGCGCGCAGGAGGCCGCGGGCGCGGUUCAUCUGCGGGUGAGCCGCGAGGUGGUGCGGGGCAAUGCAGGAGGCAUGGAGCAUGGUGGAGGGGCUCGGGCGGCGGCUUGGCUGCGAGAGGGUGCGAUAGGUGCGUGCCUGCACGAUUUGAUGCUGCGAAUACGCCCUGGUGAUGCGCGGGUCAGCCGGUCAGGGGCCUAGGUUGGCGACGAAGAGCGCCUCCAACUGUGAGUGAUGCAGAUCCGGUCUCCAGUGGCUGCGGUGGCGUGCAUGGGGCACGUUGGUGCUGCUCGGAACCCUGGUGGCUCUUGGCUUCGGGCAGCGCUCCUCUAUUCCUAACGGCAUGGUGCUCGGCAGGGCACAACGGCUUGCGUUGCGUCUAGAAGACCGUUGAUGGAUGUAGGGACUCGUUCUGGAGGUUGGCCGUCGGUGGUCUCCGCGAGGUGUGGUUGGCUACGACGGAUCUCGGAGCUUCUUCGUUGAUGGGCAGCUCCGAUUGUGGUGGUGUUUGGUGGGCUUGCCGGCGCUGGUGCAGGAUGAUGUACGACUGAGGUGGUGUGGGAGAUUAGUUGAACACCCUGUCUCGGCUUUGUGCCGUGACCAGCGAUGGUGGCGGCUGCGGUCGUCGUUCACCUUCUUGGAGGCAUCGUUGCUUUGCUGCCGCACCACUCCCGCGCGGAUCCGGCCAUCUCAGCCUCUCCGGGGGAAACCCUUGAUCUGUGAUCGGACAAUGGCGGCGCCUUGGUGUCGUAUUCCCUCUUGGGGGCUUUGUCUUGGGAGCUCGACAUCGGCAAGCGAGACCGGUGGAUGGCCGCGGUUGUGGCGACCAGGUUUCUGUGGAUGGUGGGUCCAAUGUCGGCAAUGCGGCAAUGGUUGAGGUAUUCGGCUCUUCUCUGGUGUGUCCACGGGUUUGCCUCGGUUUAUUUGUUGUUGUGAAGUCAAAGCUGCUGAGGCGGGCCCUGUGGUAUACGAUGACUGGCUGCAGGCGAACCAUUCGGCGAUCUUCCGCAGCGCCAGCCGUGCCUGGUUUUGUCCUUCGUAGUUCUCCGUCAGAGUCGGAGCUGUCCUGUCUGGUCGCAGGGGGCUGAGUUCUAGCAUGGAUCUUCAUGCAUCUUCACGCGGACUCUGCAGUGUGUGUCGAGUCGACGAUCGCCUACGACGAAGUCGGAGUCGUUUGCUCAGGAUUUAGGGAUGGCGAUGUCGCCUCUAGGGGAGGAGUGAUGACGAUGAUGCCUGUGUGCUGUCUCGACGAGGCCAUCACUCGAGUGGUGUGCAUGGGGUAUCUUGUGUGUGCCGCUCAGCGGUUGUGAUGGUUUUCGCCCGGUUUUCCAUGAUCAAUUGGGCAAUCUGGUUUUCGCUCGGUUUUCCCUAAUUAACUGAGCAACUCUUUUCUUCUUAACGAAUGCAGGAUAACUGCCAUUCCGAAAAGAAAAAAAUGAAGGUCACAUAACAUGGCCGGGCACAAAAUAUUUUUGUCAGAAUCAGAAAGACACUGCCUCUUUGCCUUAAUCCUCGUUUGUGUUCUCCAUUGUGUAACCUACAAACUGUGCUUUUAUCACAACAGUCAAAUGUAAAAUUCCACAUGAAUUUUGUACUUAUUUGAACCAGAGCAUUUGCCUUGUUGAAAGUAUAUAUUAGGGUUUGAUAAAUUUAUCCGUUCUCAUGACUGCAAACUGUCGAGCACCAUACAGGGAGGAUAAAUCAUCAACAGUUGAUGUUUUAGACUUGUAGCUGCAAGAGCAAGCACGGACAGUCUUCAGGCAUCCCAAUGUUGGGUGUGUGCUUUCCUGUUGCUAACUUGGCUCUGCUGCUGGUGAAGCCCAAGACGGCAUUCCGCAUGUCAGCUACUGAUAAUAGCCUGUUGCUGCAAGUGUUUGGUUGUUUUGUAGUAUUUUGCUGGCAUUGGGUCUGUACUUUCUCAGUUUCCUUACAUGAAAUUGGAGAUUGUAUACCUUCUGAACUGAAAGACUAAAACAGUUGUACUUAGCCUAGCAUAUUCGAUGAUUUACUGUCUGUUUACUUAUUUCCUCACUGCAAUUAACCACUAUGCGGUUGAGCAUUUAAUUCUUUAACUGAAUCUGAUUUCACGCAGACUUCAUGACUGUGACUUGGGAGAUUUGGUCGAACAUUGUGUUCCACGCUUACAUUGGUGCUUUUCUGGAGUAACGAUCAAGCUGCAACAGUUUUGUGACUGCAGAAUCCAGCAGGGUAAAUCUUCGUUCCGUUUUGAUAAUCGACCGGACAAAUUUCCAUUUUUCUCCCGUCACAUUGAUGCAAGCUUCUUGGUAUACCUAAUCAUUAUUGAAACUUAUUAGGUUUGCACUGGUAAAAUUAGCAAGUUGUAACUCUAGUAUGCAAGGCUGUUAGGUGCAUGAGGGGUCAGAGGGUGUACUGUCAAAUUUAGUCGAGCAUUGUGUUCCAGUCUUGCAUUGUGGUUUUCUGGAGUAACGAUCAAGCUGCAACAGUAUUAUGACUGCAGAAUUCAGCAGGGUAAACCUUCGUUCUGUUUUGAUAAUCGAUCUGUCAAAUUUCAGCUUUUCUCCCGUCACAUUGAUACAAGCUUGUUGGUAUACCUAAUCAUCAUUGGAACUUAGGUUUGCAUUGGUACAAUUAGUAAGUUGUAACUCUAGUAUGCAAGGCUGUUAGGUGCAUGAGGGUCAAAUUUCUUUUAUAUCUGAAAGGGACCUAUGAGCAAAUGGUAGUGGAAGUACUUGUGUAGGGCUAUUAUAACCCACAGAGCACCAUUUAGUAAUUUGCACCACUAAAUGCCAAACCCCACAUAGUAACUAACAUAAAAGCCAAUGUCUGUGCUUUUCCUCUCUGCCUCUCCUCCACCCUCCACUAGACCACUACUGUUUCUGCUUGCUGAUGUUGGAGAAGGUGAUUAUUAGGGUUGUUUGUGUCGGUUGGUGGCAUCCAUUUGUGCUGUCUCUUUUUGUUCAACCACUUGGCAUUGUGAUCUCCACAGCUGCUCUACAGACUCCAGAGCCUGCCUGCACUUUGUCUUCAGUAUGGGUGACAUCCAUUUUUGAAAGCAAAGCUCUCUCUAACUGUUGCUCCAGUGCGCAGAGUGUCUCGGGAGAAGAUAAACGCGCUACCCAGAAAUCAAGACACGAAGCAUGGUGAUCGGGGAUCAUAUGAGAUGAAUUAAAGGAGGCAGCUUAGCUCAGAUUCACUGUGAGCAAAGGUUCCAUUCGGUCAUUCCCAUGUACUCCCUCCGUUCUGAUUUACUCGUCGUGGUUUUAGUUCAAAUUUGAACUAAAACCACGACGAGUAAAUCGGAACAGAGGGAGUACUUUGUUUACUUCAGUCCAACUUCGGACAAACCCCAGGCAAGACAAACCCUCGGAUCACCAGCAGGCUACAUGACUGACGUGGGAGACCAUUUUACUCCAGGCUUGCAUUGUGAGUACUGUGACUGCAGAAUUCAGUGGGGUAAACUUCCAUUCCGUUUAGAAAACCAACCAGUCAAACAUCAGUCCUGCUCACAUCAGCUUGAUGCAAGCUCAUAAUUGGAGCUCAGGUUUGCAUUGGUAAUAUUUUGUAGGCUGUAGCCCUAGUAUGCAAGGCUGUUAGGUGCAUGAGUGUCAGAGGGUGCACUGUCAAGUUCUCUUAUAUCUGAAAGGGACCGCUGAGCAAACGGUGUCUCGGGAGAAGAUAAACGUGCUACACAGAAAUCAAGACACGAAACACGUUGAUGAUCGGGGAUCACGAUCACGAUGAGAUGAAAUACAGGAGCUAGGCAGCUUGGCUCAGAUUCCACUGUGAGCCAAGGUUCCAUUCGGUCAUUCCCAUUUGCUUUCUUUACUUCAGUCCAACUUCGGACAAACCCCAGGCAAGCUGUUUUUUACUACUCACAAACUGUCAGAUCACCACCAGGUGACAAAUCUAUUUAUAUUUUGCUGAUAAUAGCCUGUUGCUGCAAGUGUUUGGUUGUUUUCUAUUCCGUCUGUAAACUAAUAUAAGACAUUUUAGGUCACUACUUUAGUGACCUAAAACAUCUUAUAUUUGUUUACAGACAGAGUAGUAUUUUGUUGGCAUUGGGUCUACAUACUUUCUCAGUCUCCCUACACGACAUUGGGGUUUGUCUACCUUCUGAACCAAAAGACAAAUAGUUACUCUAUUUAGCUUAGACAUUUGAUGUUUCGAUGCUGCAUUGUGUGUUUACUUAAUUCUUCACUGCAAUGAACUAUCAUGCGUUUGAGCAUCUACCUUGGUUUAUGCAACAUGACUGACGCGGGAGGUUCCAUCAACCAUUUUACUGUAGGCUUGCAUUAGGAUUUUCUACAAGCAUGCUAGACGCAACAGUAUUGUCACUUCAGAAUUCAAAGUGGGUUAAACUUCCAUUCCGUUUAGAAAACCGACCAGUUUAAUUUCAGUUUUGCUCACAUCACCUUGAUGCAAGCUCAUCAUUGGAGCUCAGGUUUGCAUUGGUAAAACAUCUAAGUUGCAGAUCUAGCAUGCAAGGCUGUUAGGUGCAUGAGGGUCAGAGGGUGUACUGUCAUUUCUUUUUAUAUCUGAAAGGGACCGCUGAGCAAACGUUAGUGCCAUUCUUUUACACAGUACUGUCGCACAGUAACACAACACCCAACCCCCCCCCCCCCCCCCCCUCCCUCCCUCGGAA